AUGGCCAAGGAGAGUCGCGGAGCUGCCCCCGUGGGCCACAACUUGAGACCCCAGUUCCCCAAAGCCACGGAAAAGCCCCAGAAAUGCCUGGCAGGGCUCCGAGGGGAGCUCACACGGCGAGAGGCCAACAGGCACAGCGGCCUCGACACAGCUGACCACAGCCGGCCCCCGCCCCACUCGCGCGGCCGCCCCUCUCCUUCGCGAUCCGAUCUCCAGGUGGCUGCAGCCCAGCGAGGGUUAAGGGGGGCGGGACGUGGGGCGGCCCCGCCUCCGCCGCCGCGCCGGGUCCAAGCGCGCACGGGGCGCGGGGGCGGGUCGGAGCGGGCGGCGGCGGAGGGCGCGGCGCGCCGGGCGAGCGCGGGGAGCGGUGGCGCGGCCCGCGUGACCCACCGGCCGCGCCCGUGCGCCCGCGAGCCCGCGCCCCGUCGCCGCCCGGCCCAGCCGCAGGAUGCGCGCCCCGCCGCUGUUGCUGCUGCUGGCCGCCUGCGCGCCGCCGACCUGCGCCACGGCCGCCCCGACGCCGCCGGGCUGGGAGCCGGCGGCCGACGCGCCCUGGUGUCCCUACAAGGUGCUGCCCGAGGGCCCCGAGGCGGGAGGCGGGAGCCUGUGCUUCCGCAGCCCCGCGCGCGGCUUCCGCUGCCAGGCGCCCGGCUGCGUGGCGCACGCCUCGGCCGGCCGCUCACUGCGCGCCAGCGUCCUGCGCAACCGCAGCGUGUUGCUGCAGUGGCGCCUGGGGCCGGCCGAGGCGCGCCGCGUGCGCGCCUUCGCGCUCAACUGCUCGUGGCGUGGCGCCUACACGCGCUUCCCAUGCGAACGCGUGCUACUGGGCGCCUCCUGCCGCGACUACCUGCUGCCCGAUGUGCACGACGGCGUGCGCUACCGCCUUUGCCUGCAGCCGCUGCCGCUGCGAGCCGAGCCGGCAGGCGCCCCGGAGCCCGCCGCACCCGCCGAGUGUGUGGAGUUCGCCGCCGAGCCUGCCGGCAUGAGGGAGAUCGUGGUGGCCAUGACGGCGGUGGGUGGUUCCAUCUGCGUUAUGCUCGUGGUCAUCUGCCUGCUCGUGGCCUACAUCACCGAGAACCUCAUGCACCCGGCCUUCGGGCGCCCAGGCUUACGCAGGCAGCCCUGAAGCGCGAGACGCCUGCCCGCCUGGCCUCUACUUGCCCGACUAGGGCGCAGGAGGCCCGAGCCCUUGGUCCGCUCUCCCCUCGUCGCUCCUGCUCCCUCUUUAGGACCUCCACACAGGGCCUUCUGGAGAUGGAUGGGUCACCGGUCCUUACUAGGGCCUGGAGUCACCGGACGACCUUCCCAGCCGAGCAGCUGACUCCCAGAUUCCAGUUCGGGACUGGCCCUUGGGCCUGA
rnacentral:lncRNA from 1 species